rnacentral:rRNA from 1 species
UCUGGGAAACUGCCUGAUGGAGGGGGAUAACUACUGGAAACGGUAGCUAAUACCGCAUAAUGUCGCAAGACCAAAGAGGGGGACCUUCGGGCCUCUUGCCAUCGGAUGUGCCCAGAUGGGAUUAGCUGGUAGGUGGGGUAACGGCUCACCUAGGCGACGAUCCCUAGCUGGUCUGAGAGGAUGACCAGCCACACUGGAACUGAGACACGGUCCAGACUCCUACGGGAGGCAGCAGUGGGGAAUAUUGCACAAUGG